GCACUAGUGAUGGUCAUGGUGGAAAGAUAUGAGAUAAUCAUGAGAAAGGUUUGGUUCAGGAGGGUGGGUGGUUUGGAAAGUGCCAGAAGAGAGGCAACCCUUACACAAACUGCCAUGUCAGCAGCUCUUAAGACAAACUAUACUUUAGGAAGAAUGACCAUAGUCAUUCUUCGAAGAAAUGAUCGUCAUUGUGAUGGUAUGUCAGAAUAACAGACAGUGUCAAUUCUGACCAAUUUCUACGGAGACCAUUUUAAAAACUGUCUUAUAGUGACAUCCUGUGGCCGGAAUACUGAACUAAACCUGCUUGGAAUAUUGUACAGUAUGCUAUUACAGAAAAAAAAAACUUAGCUUUGUAAGGUUUUUUUCUUAUUAUUUUUCUUUUUUUUUAAUGACCAUUUAAUGAUUAUAAACACAAUUAUAGCUUACAUUUACCAUUAUUAUAGCAUUCAUUCGUCACUACAUUUAAAAUUACUGUAUUAAUAACUUUAAUAACUAUCAACAAAUAAUGGAUAAGGGAAAGGUGACGUUUGAGGUUGAAAUUAUUUUGUAAUUUUAUUUUACCAGAGAGAAUUAAUAAAGUAUAUAUCUAUAUAACAUUACUGUGUGGAAGUUAUGUUUAUUCUCGUGGAUGCACCAUUCCAUUUCACCUGUUGAUUCCAUUGACUUAGCUAGCUAGCAACAAGAGUUUACACAGGGAUAUUUCUGGAUAAACCCGUUUGACGUCUGUGUAUGCUGAUAUUUCUGUCAUUCGUCCAGACAUUGGUGGGAAUUUCGUGUUCUCUCAAUAUUAUCCCAAUCAAGCUUGGUAAUUGGUAAUGUGUAACAAGAAAGACUGUAAAAUCAACAAUUAACCUAGCGAUAGCUAACUAGGUAGCUACCAAGCUAACGUUAGCUAACCUACUACGUCGACCAGGUGGUUUAACAUUUCGUUGGAUGGAAAAUUUGACAUGGAUAGACAAAUAUGUUGCACUGAAGUAACGUUAACUCUUGAUCUAACCAAAGUCUUCAUAGGUUUAUAAUGUCACUGGCCUAACGUUACUAGUCUGGAUUAUUUUAUAAAUAUGACAAUUUUCGUCCUCUGGAGAA
ensembl:lncRNA